GACGAACGCUGGCGGCGUGCUUAACACAUGCAAGUCGAACGGAAAGGCCCUGCUUGCAGGGUACUCGAGUGGCGAACGGGUGAGUAACACGUGGGUGAUCUGCCCUGCACUUCGGGAUAAGCCUGGGAAACUGGGUCUAAUACCGGAUAGGAGCCAUUUUUAGUGUGAUGGUUGGAAAGUUUUUUCGGUGUAGGAUGAGCUCGCGGCCUAUCAGCUUGUUGGUGGGGUAAUGGCCUACCAAGGCGGCGACGGGUAGCCGGCCUGAGAGGGUGGACGGCCACAUUGGGACUGAGAUACGGCCCAGACCCCGACGGGAGGCAGCAGUGGGGAAUAUUGCACAAUGGGCGCAAGCCUGAUGCAGCGACGCCGCGUGGGGGAUGACGGCCUUCGGGUUGUAAACUCCUUUCGCUAGGGACGAAGCUUUUUGUGACGGUACCUAGAGAAGAAGCACCGGCUAACUACGUG
rnacentral:rRNA from 1 species